rnacentral:misc_RNA from 1 species
GAUUGAAGAACGUAGCGAAAUGCGAUAAGUAAUGUGAAUUGCAGAAUUCAGUGAAUCAUCGAAUCUUUGAACGCACAUUGCGCCCCCUGGUAUUCCGGGGGGCAUGCCUGUCCGAGCGUCAUUACAACCCUCAAGCUCAGCUUGGUGUUGGGCCCCGCCGCCCCGGCGGGCCCUAAAGUCAGUGGCGGUGCCGUCCGGCUCCGAGCGUAGUAAUUCUUCUCGCUCUGGAGGUCCGGUCGUGUGCUCGCCAGCAACCCCCAAUUUUUUUCAGGUUGACCUCGGAUCAGGUAGGGAUACCCGCUGAACUUAAGCAUAUCAAUAAGCGGAGGA